ensembl:snRNA U1 U1 spliceosomal RNA
CAUCUUACCCAGUAGGGAAGAUACCAUGAUCACUUAGGUGGUUCUCCCUGGGUGAUGUUCAUCCAUUGCACUCUGGGUGUGCUGACCUCUGUGAUUUUCCCAAAUACGGGAAACUCAAAUGCAUAAUUUGUGGUAGUGGGGAACUGCGUUUGUGCUCUUCCCCG